rnacentral:rRNA from 1 species
CCUACGGGAGGCAGCAGUGGGGAAUUUUGGACAAUGGGCGCAAGCCUGAUCCAGCCAUGCCGCGUGCGGGAAGAAGGCCUUCGGGUUGUAAACCGCUUUUGUCAGGGAAGAAACGGUCUGGGUUAAUACCCUGGGCUAAUGACGGUACCUGAAGAAUAAGCACCGGCUAACUACGUGCCAGCAGCCGCGGUAAUACGUAGGGUGCAAGCGUUAAUCGGAAUUACUGGGCGUAAAGCGUGCGCAGGCGGUCCUAUAAGACAGAUGUGAAAUCCCCGGGCUCAACCUGGGAACUGCAUUUGUGACUGUAGGGCUUGAGUACGGUAGAGGGGGAUGGAAUUCCGCGUGUAGCAGUGAAAUGCGUAGAUAUGCGGAGGAACACCGAUGGCGAAGGCAAUCCCCUGGACCUGUACUGACGCUCAUGCACGAAAGCGUGGGGAGCAAACAGGAUUAGAUACCCUGGUAGUCCACGCCCUAAACGAUGUCACUGGUUGUGGGAAGUUCCUCUCAGUACGUAGCUAACGCGUGAAGUUGACCGCCGUCGGGAGGUACGGCCGGCCGACGGUUAGGUAAACGUUAAAACGUUAAGUAAGUUAGUACGGCGUGAGACGUGCCGACGGACGACGACGAGGGAGGUAGG